AACGAACGCUGGCGGCAUGCCUAACACAUGCAAGUCGAACGAAGUCUUCGGACUUAGUGGCGCACGGGUGCGUAACGCGUGGGAAUCUGCCCUUGGGUGCGGAAUAACUUCUCGAAAGGGAUGCUAAUACCGCAUAAUGUCGUAAGACCAAAGAUUUAUCGCCCAAGGAUGAGCCCGCGUAAGAUUAGCUAGUUGGUGGGCUAAAAGCCUACCAAGGCGACGAUCUUUAGCUGGUCUGAGAGGAUGAUCAGCCACACUGGGACUGAGACACGGCCCAGACUCCUACGGGAGGCAGCAGUGGGGAAUAUUGGACAAUGGGCGAAAGCCUGAUCCAGCAAUGCCGCGUGAGUGAUGAAGGCCCUAGGGUUGUAAAGCUCUUUUACCAGGGAUGAUAAUGACAGUACCUGGAGAAUAAGCUCCGGCUAACUCCGUGCCAGCAGCCGCGGUAAU
rnacentral:rRNA from 1 species